rnacentral:lncRNA from 1 species
CCCUGCGUCCCUCCCUGAAGCAUUCAGGAUGCCGGACCAGUUGGUUACGUCCCCCACCUUAAAGCCUGCCCCAAGCACCUGUUGGACACCAGCCUGGACUACAACCCUGAGUGAUGCCCUGCUUCCUGCCUCUCCCUCUCUGAUGUCCUGUCCCCACAGGCCUUAGCCAGUCUGAGGCACAUCCUAUCCCGCCUCCCAUCCGGACCUCUCCUGCUGCAGCCGUAUCUCCUCCAGAAGGUCUCCGUGCUCCAUCAGCAGCCUCUGGGCCGAGGCCACGUCCACCGCCUUCUCCUCGCUGUGCAGCCGAGCCCAGACGCCCUCCGCCCACAGCAGCAGUUGCUGGCUGUCCUGUAGGAAGCUCUGCCGUGUCCGUGCCUCGGCCUGGGCCCUGGCCUGUUGGGCCACGUGCUGCUGUACCUGCUCCAGCAGCCCCUGCAGCGUCUCCACCUGUCCUCUCAGGCACUGAUUCUCUGUGGGGCCCGCCUCUUCAGCUCUGGGAGAUGGGGCCCACGGCCCAGUCAGUGCCCUGCCCUGGUGUCCGGGCUCGGAGUCCCCAGGCAAAGUGGUGUUGACUGUGCACUCCUGCCUCCCCCUCACCGUGGGACAGCAAGCCUGUGUGGCCUGCUCUUUCCCCAUGAGCAUUUUCUCACGCCGUGUCCCCACCUGUGCCCCUGCCCUUCAGACAGCACAUCCAGCCUGUGCUCCAAUUUCUGUCCCAUUCCUCAUGCCACAACCCUGCUCAGUCCUCCCCUGCCUCCCAGGGCCCAAACCCAGGCCGUACUUGAUGGUGAUCCUCUGCAAGUGGUACACGCUUCUCUCCAGUGCCGGCAUCUUCUGCUGGGCCAGCUGCAGGACGCGGUGGCUGUCCUCUGACUGCCCCAGCUCCAGGGUUUCCAGCCGGAGUAUCAGGUCUCGCAGUUGGACCUGUGUGGAUCUGCACUUGUGCAGAAAACUGCACACGUCCGUGGUGCGUGCCAGCUGCAUUUCCUUCUCUUUCUUCAGGGCUUCCAGCUGCCCCCACCUGAGCACAGCGAACAGGGAUGUCUCUGUCACAGGGACAUCUCCACAGCCAUACUGGGGCCACGGCUGGGGAUUCACACAAUAGCUGCUGCCGGGCUGCCUGUCCCUAUGCCCUCUCCUGUCUCUGACAUGUCCGGUGUUUCCUCCUGGCAUCUCCAGAGGCACAUCAGCAGGCGUGCAGGCCCGGGCAAAGCAUCCAGCCUGUCCCCACUGCUCUGUGCUCCCUCCGUCUUACCUCUGGCUCAGUUCCUCCUGCUGUUGCUGAAUUCUGGGGGCAUCUUCAGGACAUCUCUGCUUCAGCUGCUCAGCAGAGCUGCUGACCUCAGUCAAGCAGCCCCUUCCCACAGCCAGGGCAGUGAGGAAGUUCUGGGGAAAGGAAGACCCAGGCCCUGAGUGAGUUUCUUCUCUUCCCACACUGCACUCAAGACUACAAAUGACCCAAUAUGCUCUGCUGUGCAGGUGUCUGAGCAGUAACCCUCUGGAAGGACUGGGGUCUCUGUCCUUAAAGGGCUGGGAGGGCCCUUUAAAAAUUCAAGGCUAGGGGCGCCUGGGUGGCGCAGUCGGUUAAGCGUCCGACUUCAGCCAGGUCACGAUCUCGCGGUCCGUGAGUUCGAGCCCCGCGUCGGGCUCUGGGCUGAUGGCUCAGAGCCUGGAGCCUGUUUCUGAUUCUGUGUCUCCCUCUCUCUCUGCCCCUCCCCCGUUCAUGCUCUGUCUCUCUCUGUCCCAAAAAUAAAUAAACGUUGAAAAAAAAAAUUAAAAAAAAAAAUUCAAGGCUAGGUAUCCAAAUUAUAAAGCAAGAAGUAAAACUGUUAUUAUUUGCAGAUGACGUGGUAUUAUAUAUAGAAAACCCUAAAGAUUCCACCAACGAAGUGUUAGAAUAAAUGAAUUCAGUAAAGUUUCAAGGUACAAAAUCAAUAUAAAGGAAUAUUUUGCAUUUCUAUACACUAAUAAUGAAUCAUCAGAAAGAGAAAUUAAGAAAACAAUCUCAUUUACAAUUGCAUUAAAAAAAAAAAAAACAACCUAAGAAUAAAUAACUGAAGAGAUAAAAGACCUGUACACUGAAUACAUCGAUCAAAGAAGUUGGGAAACCCCCCCCCUCCACAAAUGGAAAUAUAUUCUGUGCACAUGGAUUAGAAGAAUUAACAUUGUUAAAAUGUCUAAACCACUCAAAGCAAUCUAUACAUUUACUAUAAUCCUGAUAAAAAUUCCAAUAGCACUUUUCACAGAUAUAGAACAAUCCUAAAAUUUGUACGGAAAUGCAAAAUCCUAAAAUUUGUGUGCAAUAGCCAAAACAAUCUUGAGAAAAAAAAAGUCUUUCUCAAGACAUCAGUUAAGGCAUCACGCUCCCUGAUUUCAAACUGUAUAGUUUACUAUAGUAAACUGUAGUAAUUAUUUAUAAUGAUCAAAAUAAUGUGGUAUUGACAUAAAAACAGACACAUAGAUCAGUGGAACAGAAUAGAGAGUACAGAAAUAAACCCGUGCACAUACAGUUGAUUAAUUUAUGACAAAGGAGCCAAGAAUGGGGAAGAGAUAGUCUCUUCAAUAAAUGGUGUUGGGAAAACUGGACAGCCAUGUGCAAAAUAUGAAACUGGAUCCCUACCUUACACCGUACACAACAAUAAAUGCAACACCCAAAACAAAUAAUCUGCUUGCAAAACAGGCAGAGGACCUGAAUAGACAUUUCUCCAAAGAUGACAUACAGGUGGCCAACAGACACAGGAAAAGAUGCUCAGCAUCACCCCUUAUCAGGGAAACAGAUCAAAAUGACAACAAGAUGUCACCUCACACCAGUCAGGAUGGCUGUUUUCAAAUUUUUUUUUUUUCAACAUUUAUUUAUUUUUGGGACAGAGAGAGGCAGAGCAUGAACGGGGGAGGGGCAGAGAGAGAGGGCGACACAGAAUCGGAAACAGGCUCCAGGCUCUGAGCCAUCAGCCCAGAGCCCGACGCGGGGCUCGAACUCACGGACCGCGAGAUCGUGACCUGGCUGAAGUCGGACGCUUAACGGACUGCGCCACCCAGGCGCCCCAGGAUGGCUGUUUUCAAAAAGACUAUAAAUAGGUGCACCUGGGUGGCUCAGCUGGUUAAGCAUCUAGCUUCGGUUCAGGUAUGAUCUCAUGGUUCUUAAGUUUGAGCCCCACGUUGGGGUCUCUGCUGUCAGUGUGGAGCCUGCUUCAGAACUUCUCUCUUUCUCUCUGUCCCUCCCCAGCUUGUGCAUACUCUCUCUCAAAAAUAAAUAAAAAAUAAAAAAAAAAAAGGUUAGAGGGACUCCUGGGUGGCUCAGUUGGUUAACCGUCAGACUUCAGUUCAGGUCAUAAUCCACAGUUUGUGGGCUUGAGCCCUGCAUCGGGCUCUGUGCUGACAGCUCAGAGCCUGGAGCCUGCUUCAGAUUCUGUGUCUCCCUCUCUCUCUACCCCUCCCCGGCUCACACUCUGUCUCUGUCUCUCUCUCAAAAAUAAAUGAACGUUAAACAAAUUUUUCUUAAAUAAAAGAUUAAAAAAUGGCUAGAAAUAAGUGUUGGCAAGCAGGUGGAAAAAAGGAAGCCAUUGUGUUGGUAGGAAUAUAAACUGGUGCAACAACUAUGGAAAAUAAUACAGAGGUUCCUCAAAAAAUGAAAAAUAGAUCCAGCCUAUGAUUCAGCAAUUUCACGCCUGGGUAUUUAAUCCAAAGAAAAUGAAGACACUAAUUUGAAAAGAUAGCUACACCCCCAUAGUCAUAGAGGCAUUAUUUACAAUAGCCAACAUAUGGAAGCAACCUAGCGUCCAGUGAUGGAUGGACAAAGAAAAUGUGGCAAAGGGGUGCCUGGGCGGCUCAGUUGGUUAAGCUUCCAAUUGUUUGGUUCGUGAGAUUGAGCCCCCAGUCUGGCUGUGUGCUGAUAUCAGGGAGCCUGCUUGGGAUUCUUGCUUUCUCCCUCCCUCUCUGCCCCUACCCUGGUUGAGAGCUGGUGGGUGUAUACAUGCUUUCUUUCAAAAUAAAUAAUAAAUCUUAAAAAAAAAAAAAGAGGGGUGCCUGGGUGGCUUAGUUGGUUGAGCGUCUGACUUUGACUCAGGUCAUGAUCUCAUGGUUCGUGAGUUAGAGCCCCACACCAGGCUCACCAGCCCACUUUGGAUCCUCUGUCCUCCUCUCUCUCUGCCCCUCCCCUACUCAUGCUCUCUCUCUCUAAAAAGUGAAUAAACAUUUAUUAAAAAACAAAAUCAAAACCAAAUGCGAUAUACAUAUAUACCACUGUACAAAAGAUGGACCUUGAGGGCAUUAUGCUAAGUAAGUCAGAGAUAGAUAAAUACUGUAUGAUCUUACUUGUAUGUGGGAUCUAAAAAGCGCAAAACAAGAUAGAUACAGAGGACAUAUUGGUGGCUGUCAGAAUUGGAGAGGUGGGUGGUGGGUGAAAUGGGUAAAGGGGGUCAAAAAGUGCCAAUUUCUAGCUAUAAUGUAAGUAAGUCAUGGGGAUGGAAUAUAUAGUUUAGAGACUAUAGUUAAUCCUGUGUUGCAUUCUUUUUUUUUUUUUUAAUUUUUUUUUUUCAACGUUUAUUUAUUUUUGGGACAGAGAGAGACAGAGCAUGAACAGGGGAGGGGCAGAGAGAGAGGGAGACACAGAAUCGGAAACAGGCUCCAGGCUCUGAGCCAUCAGCCCAGAGCCUGACGCGGGGCUCGAACUCACGGACCGCAAGAUCGUGACCUGGCUGAAGCCGGACGCUUAACCGACUGCGCCACCCAGGCGCCCCAACCUGUGUUGCAUUCUUGAAAGUUGCUAAUAGAGUCCAUCUUAAAAGUUCUCAUUACAAGAAGAAAAUUCUGUAACUAUGUGUGGGGAUGGAUGCUAACUAGACUUACCGUGGGGUCCAUUUCACAAUACACACAUACAUACCAUUAUGUUGCAUACCUCCAACUACUAUCAGGUUGUGUAUCAAUUAUACCUCAAUAAAAACAAAAUAGUUCAAGGCCAGAUCCCUUGCUUCUUCUUCCCAGACAGGACUACAGUUAACAUGGAGAAGUGGGACACAGGAGUGAAUAACGGAGAGGCAGGAGCAGGCGGGGAGGGAGAAGGACAGGAAUACGGAAAGGCCGCAGGGCCAAGCAGCCAAGACGCCCACCUUGGCUCCACAGGGGCAGUACCUUAUACUUGAGCCGCGUGGCUUCCAAGUCAUCCGCCUGGGGCUGCAGCAUUUGGAGCAGUGCGGUCUGGUUCUCCAGCCAUGACUGCAGCUCUCCACAUGAGUCAUAGAAGCCAAAUAGGGCCACUGCCUCCUCCAACUGAGCUCUUCGGUGCUGAGGAGAGGCCGGCCCAGAGGUUGGGGCAAGGGCCAGUUUCCCCCUAGGGCACUCAGAGCAGGUCCCCAUACCCUUCCCCCAGGGCGAGAGAAGGCCCCUGCCCCACUGCUGGGCCCUGCGCCCUCUGUUGGAGGUCCAGGGGAAGGAGCUGACAAGAGCUUGAUAUCAGGUCAAGGGCCCUGGUAGAGUGUGCUCUUUUGAUCUAGCCCUUGGCUCUUAGGGACAAGCCACACUUCUGUGGGACCUGGCUCUGCCUAGCCCCACCCUUCUACCCUCCAGGCUCUCCUCCAGCCAUCUGCCACUCCCAGCUUCACUUCCGGGCUCCAGGCACUCUGGUCUUUACUCCUCCAGGGCCUCCUGCCUGCCUGGCGAUAGGUACUGCCUAGGGGAUGGUCUCCCCCAUCUCUCCUGCCCUCCCCCGGCUUUGCCUGCUCUCAACCUCUCCUUGUUCCAGUCACAGCCUAAAUGGCCUCCCCUCAGAGAUGCCCUCCCUGACUCCCAGCCUGACCUGGGCUUCCAUCACACCCAGCGCCAUCUAAUGACCUGUUUCUCCUCUUCUCUGCCUGUGUAAACUCCUUGGGGGCAGCGAGCAUGUCCAGUCAACUGCUCUGUCUCUGGACUCCCGGUUCAGGGUCCAGUGCAGAGUAGGUGUUCCAUGAACAUUUCUUGAACAAGAAGUGUUACUUACCUUUGCCAGGGCCCCCAGUCCCUCGUAGUCCUGGUUCAAGCAAUCCUGUGUCUGGAGUAUGGUGUUAGGGUCAAAGUCAGGGUCAAGUUCAGCGGAGAGGACCAUCUUCUGAGUGCUUGGGGGCCCAGAGUGGCAGGAAACCUCACUCCAGGUCCGGAGGUUCCUCGGGCCUUCCUUUGGAGAGCUCAGGGCAGAUACCACCUGUGCUGACAGGACACAGGGCAGUGUGUCCAGAGGGGACUCCCCUAAACACGAGGCUUGGCAGGGUGGGGCCAAUGGUUGUACCUGGGGUGGUUCCAGGAGGAACCCGAUUAAUGCAUGGAAACUGGUGGGCAACAUGAGCAAAACUAUCCUCGGAUGACUUCUACAAGCAUGCAGACAAGAUUCCACUAAUCGGACUGGGGCAGCCAGUAAGAAGUUGCUGAGGACGGGUGGGGCACCCCCAAGCCGGAAGCUAAGAUUCCCAGGUCAGGGGCCACAAAAGCCCUCCCAUUUCCACCCUCUGUGUGUGGUCACGGGAGACGGGGCAUAGUGCUCAGACCACACGUGCAUUUGAUGCUGGAGGCCUGUAGUUCUGGGUCCCUGCCGUCCACACGUACGGUAAGCGACACUUGGGUUGCGGCCGCCCGCGCCUGCUCGUCCAGUCGCCGUAGCUCCGUCCCGAAGGCGUGCAGGCUACGCUCCAGUCGCUGGUGGCGCAGCAGCAGGGCCUCUGCGGCCGUCUGGUCCCGCCCGCGGGACGCGCUCUCCAGGGCCGACUGCUGCUCCCGCAGCCACGAGGCCGCGUCAGCCGCAUCACUGAAGUACUGCGGGCAGGAGGGCAGGCUGGGCACGGGCCGACCCCACACGCCUGCCCGGCCCCCCGCAUCCACAGCCUAACUACCUCCUGGACGAGCAUAGCCGCCUGCAGCCGAGCGCCCCGCCUGGCUGUGGAGGCCCGGAGCCGCUGCCACGCCCCCUGCAGUGCCUGGGCCCGCUCCCUGGGGUCUGGCAGCGUGGGGUGCCCGCGGGCUCCCAGGUCGCAUCCCCUCCGCACGAGAUCAGUGCACAUGGCCUGGUGGUGGCGGAGCUCGGCUUCCAGGGCCUGGCAGGGUGCAGAGCUGGGUGAAGGAAAGGAAAGGGAAGGGCCAGGUGGGGACUGGGGCAGGGCCCAGGGUCACACGGACCUUGUGUUUCUGCAGGGCUGCUCUGAUCUGGCUAAGGUCCCGGCCCAGGGCUUCAUCCUCCACCAGCUGUUCGUGCUCCCUCAACCAGGUUUCCUCCUCCUCGCAGUUGUGCAGGAACUCUGCCUGCUGCAGGGUCUGCUCCAGCAAGGUGCGCCUGAGGGAUGGCAAGGGGCACCAAAGGGACUGGGGAGGGGGCUCCCCACCAGGCACAGACACUCCCCCUUAGAUAGGAGUUUUCUUUUUCCUGAUAACUCAACAGGGGAACAGAAGACUUAGAGGUGAAGGUCAAUGUGGAGGAAGUUGCCAAGUCAGCAGUAUUUUAACCAGGGCAGGAGGUAAAUUGGGUUCCAGAAAAGUUCUAGAGAAGGUAGGAGAGCUGGGUGAGCUCUUACCGGGCCCUUAGAAGAGACACCAGGCUCCCGUGAAGCUGGGCCAGUGCCUGGGCCUUGGCCUGCAGCACCUCCACAGUAGUACCCAGGGAGGAGUCCAGCUGCGAGGUCUGGAGGCCAAGAUGGCGCACAUGGGCCCCGUGGGCUGAGACCUGGGCCUCCAGCAGGUCAUGCUUCUGCAGCAGCUGCACGGUCUCAGCUAGCUGCUGCCCACAGGCCGUGGAGCUGGCCAGCACCUGGCCAGGGAUGGACAAGUGAUCACUGCUGUCCCAGAGUGCUGGGUCAUCACGAGUGUUGGUGCUGUGUCACCCAGGGGCCUGCUGGUCCAGGGCCCACCUGUAGCUCCUUGAGCUGGUUGGAGGCAGUCUCCACCUCCUGCAGCAGGCUCAGCACAGCUUGCAGACCUGCCAUCUGCUUCUUCUGCCCUUGGAGACGCCGAAGGAGUUGCUCCCAGCGCCCAGUGAUCUCCAGUUGCCUGGAGGAUGUGAAAAUAAGGGGUGGGGUGGGGUCUUCACUGGGCUGGGAUAGGGAAGCCACCUUGGGGCCUACACCUGGUGGGGGUGCUUGGCUGUCAUGGAGGAGCCUGAGCCCAGUGACUGGGGGCUUGGAGCAUUCUAGCCUAUGGCUGUCGGGGCACUGUGUUCCUGCUUCUUAAACACGGGCAGAGAAGCUAGAUGGAGGGUCUGUGUGGCUCAGGGCCCCCCAACCUUUCCAUCUCCAUCUCCAAUGAUAGCAACUCCAUCCUUCUAGGUGCCUGGGCUAAAGGGCUUGAUAACUGAAUUUCUCACACCCCGCAUCUGAUCUGUCUGUAAAUCCUCUUGGAUCCAAAAUAUAUGCAAAAUCCCACCAUUUCUCAUCACCUGCAUUGCUUCUCUGGCCUAGAUUAUUGCAAUAGCUGCAUAAGUGGUCUUUGCUUCUGUCCCUUCAGUCUGUGCCUGACAUGGCAUCCAGAACGAUCGUUGUCGAACAGGAGUCAGAUUGUGCCACUCCUUCAUUCCAGUCCUCCCGUGUUGAAUUCCCCAUCCUUCUGUGAGUAAAUCCCAUCUUUACUGUGUCCUACAGAUCCCAGCAUGAUCUCUACCCCCACCCUUUGCCCCUGUACCUCCUUGACCUCAACCACUACUUGUUCACUUUGACCAACAGUGGCCUCCAUGCUAUUUUCCAAACAUGGCAGGCAUGCGCCUUCCCUAUGCCUGGUAUAGUGUGUCCCCGUAUCUCUACAGCUGGGCCCCUCUUCUGGUCUCUGCUUCUUCCUGGUCUUUGCUCAAAAGUCAGUCUCCUCUGGCCACCUGAUCUAACCCCCACCCCCUAUGUUGGUACCUCAUAAUCCCCUAUCUUGUUACCAUUUUUUUUUUAAUCACUAUUGCACGUACUAUAUAUCUAUUUUAAUUUGUCUGUUUUCCUUAGUAGUGUGUAAGCUCUGUGAGGGGAGGCAUUAUGGUUUCUCCUCCUCACUACUAAAUCUCCAGUGCCUAGAACUGUGCUUGGGACAUAGUAGACAACAAAUACUUGUUCAGUGAAUGAGUUGAUAAGAAUUAUCUAGAAAGGGCAGUGCUUUACUAAAAAUGGGGAAUUGAGGGCGCUGGAACUUCAGGCAUCAGUGGGAGUUAGAUCUUUUAAAGAGAGCCCUGAACCUAUAGAUCAGACCUCUAUGGCCAGGAAUGGGCACAGGUAAACAUAGGGAUAUGACAGGAAGGCCUUAGCCUGUUUUGAGGAUGAUUUCCGCACCCCAGGCUCACCUGCGGGCCACAACUGCCCAGCCAUGGUGCUGCUCCUGCUGAAGGAUGUCUGCGAUCUCGGCCAGGGCCUGGAAGCGCCCCUCCUGGGGCAGGAUGCUGGCCUCCAGCAUGCCCAGUCUCUGGGCAGCUGCGUCCACUGUGGCCAGGCUGGCUGGUGGGGCGGCAGCUGUGGCCUGGUCCAACAUUUGCUCUGUGUCUGUCAGAAAGUUCUCCCUGAGGGCUGCCUUGCGCUGGAAGCGCCGGGCCAGGGUUUCCAGCCGCUCUAGCUGUAGGAUCCUCCGUAGCAGGGCCUGGCUUCUUGAGGCCUCUGCCCGCUCCAGGACUGCCCAGCGCUGGGACAGCUCUGCGGGGCCCAGGCCCUCGUGAGGCAGGAAGAGCCUGCGAUUCUGGGCUCGGAGUGCCGUCUGCAGCCGGAAGAGCAGGGCCUCUGUGGCCCCUCGCUGCUGCAGCCGUGGUGGCUUCUCCUGGGUGCGGAAGAAGGCAAAGGCCACCAGUAGCUGGCGCAUGGCAGGCAGGGAGUCUGGGAAAUCCCGUGCCUCCAGCUGCACCUGCUUCUCCGCAAUCCAGCGCAGCAGGUCGGCCACCAGCUGCUCGUACUGGGUCUGCAGCUCCUCUGUCUCCUGGAGCUGAAGCAGGAUCUGGGGGAGGCACGGGAAGGCCUCGGGCAGCACCUCGGGGCAGGCCCUGGAAUGGAGGUGCUCCCCUUUUGGAUGCUCGGUGACUGCCAAGGUUGCCCAGGUGGGUGGAGGCUCUUUCCCCUAGCUGAGGUUGCACUAAAGUGGGGUCCUCCCAGCCCCCAGACAAUUAGGUUUGCUUGCAUUGCACACUUAGACCCAGGAGUGUGGGGCACCCACCCUGCUUUCCUCCAUCUUAUUUUACCCCAUUUGGCCUCACUUCUGGGGAGUACUAUUCUUUUUCUGAGCCACCUUUCCCUUUCCUGAGGCCCCCACAUCCCUAAAACAGCUCAGAGCCCUUGGCCUGGAUCUUCUCCCCCAUGCCCAACCGAGACACCAACCCUGAGAAAAGCCUCCCCAGGCUUCCAUGCCUGCCGCCGUGCCCAGAGAGUAGGAGAGCCCCGAAAACAUGGACUGCGCCCAGCACAGCUGCUUCUGUGCUUGUCCUUGCAGAGUCUGGCUCUCUGAGCCUUUCAAUCUCAUUAGGGGCUUAACAGCCUACAAGCAGGGAGAGAGGGGAGGGACUGGAGAGGAUGGUGCUCACCUGGCUUUCCCUGUUUGCCAGGCACUAUGCUCACACUCCCAAGCACUCAUAGCAGCCUUCUGUCACCCCAAGCAUUAUGGGCUCCAAUGGACAGAGGACGCACGGUAAAGUUAGGGGACAUGGCCAAGGCCACACAGCUAGGAAGUGGCAGACGCAGUCUUUAAACCUAGGUCUGACUCCAGAGCCCAUGCUCAUCUCUCCUCGAGGCCACCUCUGCUCUUUCACCAACCUUAGCGAGUCUCCUCUGGACAGUCUGCUCGUGGUGCAGGCGGGAGAAGUGGUGGUAGUAGAGGGAGACGUAGGUCAUGAUGGAGCGUUCAUCGGGCUGGAGAGCAGCCACGUCCUCGGGGUCCAGCAGCUGAGCAAUGCCCAGCUCCUGCUCAGCUACGCGGAAAGCCAAGUCGAGGUUGUGUAGUGGGCGCUCGGGACGCAGGGAGCAGUAAUCAAGCAGGUCUGGCCUGGACAGAAAGCAAGCAAAGCUCUUCACCAGAGAAAUUUACUGCUUGGGUUUAAGUGGACUUGUUACAAAGGCAAGCAAGCUCCUAUUGGCCACCCGGGUAUUGGUUUCCCCUGCCGGUAACCUGAGACCCUAAUGAAGGAAUAGGGCACCUGUAGAGAGAGGAGGGCUAAUUUCGCUCAGGGGCCUGGCUUGUGGGUAGGGGGAGAAGCUCAAAAGGGCAGGUACUUGCGAGGGAAAGGACUGAGAAUAGAGUCAGCGAUGACACAGACAUUGGAGAAAGGCAGGGGUCAAGGCAAACCUGGCCAAUUCCAUGAGAUUUCCUAGGAAAGGGCGAGGGCCUUGGCCAUCAGCCAUCUCUACUCUAAGACCCAGGGUUCAGGGCCCAGAGGGAUGUGGGAGAUGAGCAGGUUGAGGACCUAAGCCCAUUCUCGGUAGUUGGCUUGGUGGUGAAGGCCUCCAGGAGGGAGGCUGAAGCCGGCCUCAGGCCAGGUCGGGCUGGGAGGGUGCUGGGUCUGCUCUCCCUCACGUGCACCUGUGUGCAUGGAUAAGGGCACUGAAGCCGAGUCCGUCACUCCAGCUGCGGGAGAAGUCGGUGAUGUUGACAUUGGCAUAGCAGGCCGUCUUCCGCUGGCACCAGACCAACAGAGCUUCCUUGGCAGACAGCAGGGCUGCGCUGGCCCCAAACUCCUCCUGGAAGGGCAGGCAGGAUGGUGGGUCAGCAUGCGACAGCUGAGAAGGCAGCGGAGCCGGCAGGCCGCCGGAGAGGCGGGUCAGGCCUGGUUGUGAUCCUUCUCCCCCCGCCGCCUGGAGGCAGGUGCAGACUGCCCUCUAUUCGGAGCACCUGAUUUUACUUGAUUUCAUUUGUGGUGGGCAGGGACUGGGGCUGAGAGAGAAAGCUUCUUCUUCCAAAGAAGUGUGUUUCUCGGCCCUUCUGAUGGGUGGGGCAUUGUGCUAACUGACCCUGGGUCCCAGGGAACUGAGGCUGGGGUUUGUUAGUCCGGCUCCAGGUCCCCUUGGGCUGCCUUCCAGCCAGGCCCUGGGCCCACGCACAGGGCUCUCCACCACUCGCACGCAGCCCUAGGAAGCCGGCACUAUUUCCACUCUAGGGAUGACAUGAGGAGGUGNNNNNNNNNNNNNNNNNNNNNNNNNNNNNNNNNNNNNNNNNNNNNNNNNNNNNNNNNNNNNNNNNNNNNNNNNNNNNNNNNNNNNNNNNNNNNNNNNNNNNNNNNNNNNNNNNNNNNNNNNNNNNNNNNNNNNNNNNNNNNNNNNNNNNNNNNNNNNNNNNNNNNNNNNNNNNNNNNNNNNNNNNNNNNNNNNNNNNNNNNNNNNNNNNNNNNNNNNNNNNNNNNNNNNNNNNNNNNNNNNNNNUCAGUGGUACUCUCCUCCCCCCACUCCCUCCCUCACACCCCAAAGUUCCUUCCCUUCCCCUCCUCCCCCAACUCGAGCUUCCUUUCAUUUGCUCCACUUCUCCACCAAUUCCUAUUUAUAAACUCAAAAUAUCAAAGCAGGGCAGGCUGCAUCUCCUCUCUUGCCCUUAGGGCCCCGGAGCUUGGGUGGGCAGCAGUGUAGGGCGAAGCGUCCAGGCCUAGAGCAGAUGCCCUAAGCAGCUGGACUAGGCUGGCAGACAUGAACCAGGAGAGGUUCUAGGGAUGGGCAUGGGAGGGAACAGAGUCAGCCUGGUCCAAUUAUGUCUGUUUUUCAGGGAGCAGAGCCUGAGCGGUCAGGGAGCAGGGUGACCGGUCAGGAGAUGAUGCACCUGCUGCCCCCCCAGGGAAAGGGCAGCUGGGGCACCUGGAGCUGGCUUGGGGGACCGAGGAGGAGAGGGUAGCUACGUGAAAGGGCUUGAGGCCAGCUAGAAAUUCAUCCAUCCAUUCAGUCAUCACAUAGGCCCUAGGCUCUGGGGACACAGCCAGGCAAAUCUCCUGUUCUCCCGGGGCUCACAGUCAGAUCAUGGGCUUCAGGGGUCCUCCGGGAUUUGAGCCAGAUCUGUGGCUUCUUUUCAUUUGGAUUUCAUCCUCUAGGUUGGCUUUUCUAACGCAUUGGAAUUGAGUCUUAGGUGGGGUUUUGGAAAUCCCAAUUGGAAAAGUUAUGAAAAUUGAUAAAUAUAAGGACUUUAUGUUUUUACUCUUUCCAAUUCAGUCCUGAGAAAACAAAAGGUAGAACAGAGGAGGAUAGGGGAUGGUGUCUUUGGUCUUCAGGUGACUGGGGAUUUGGAAACUUCUGGGAUUGGGAUGCCCUCCACAUGUUUAAUUUCUCCCAACAGCAUAUUAGAGGUGUAAUGGAAGUUACAGGGUUUCGGUGCCAAGUAGGGAACAACCAGUCAGGAACUGGCACUGUUGUCACCAGGAAAGGCAGGCACUGGCAGUCACCUCAACCCCCUACUUGUGAAUGGCUUGUCCCAGACUGAAGUUUGUGAACCUAGUUGUCACUUCAACAUAUUACAGUCUCUCUGACAUUCUCAAUCCUUUGCCCAUGGUUGAAGAGUGGGUAUUAAUUGUGUGAAUGCCAGGGUCUGCUGUGGGGACCCUAACAGUCAAGUGGAAAAACUCUGUCCCCGGGGACCUGAGGGGAGGCUGGGGCUGGGCUGGGUGGCUGGGUGUUGGGGGCUGGGACGUACCCUGUCCAGGCAGAUUUGGGAAAUCUGGAAACGCAGAAUGAUGACCCAGAUGAGUCCCAGGAUGAGUGUCUGGUCUCCAUCCACGAUGUUCUCUGGCCCAAUGAGGGGUAUUGGCACCUGUGGGCACAGUUGGCUGGGCUCAGCUGUGAAGCCCGUGUGCCAGAGGAGUCUCGGAGUAACCGAAAGUCCAGGGCACCUGUUGCCAGAUGGCAGGGUCCUGGAAUCUAUCCUGCCCCAGGACGUCCCCAAGCGAGAAAUAGGCAGGGCACAGGUGAGGCAGGUGAAGCUUUUCUAAAUGGUUGCAGCUUUGGACUCAAGUCCUCCUGGGAAAGACCCCAGCCUGGUGAACUGGGCUGGACCACUGGGGUGGGGAACUCCCUGUGUGUGGUCUACAGGUAAACACGGGCCAAGAUCGGUGGUUCAGCCAUGGGGGCUGGAAAUGAGGAGUCAUAAAUAGUCAAUAAAUGAACUCAAUAGACCACAGCAGCUGUCUGCCUCCACCUCUUAGGGCAUCUUGGAGUCUCCAGGGGGUGCUUGGGUCCUUGGUUCCCAUUUCAAUCUCAGCCCUCUUCAUUAGUGUUCCAUCUCCUGUUAAAACGGCAGAUUCCCAGGCCCCACCGAUUACUCUCUUGGGCCAGGGCCCAGGAUUCUGCAUUUGGACAAAUACCUCGGGUUCUUCCCACACACUAAAGUUGAAAACCUGCUGCCCCAGGUCUUGCCACAUGGACAGGGAGGAGGAGCAAAUGAGGGGAGAAAGGAACAGAAUAAACAUCAAAGCUGCACGGGACCUGGGCCCCUUCACCUUCUGGAUCCAUCUUCCUCUCCUGGAUCCCAGGGCUCCGAGGACUGUAGGAUUCUUGCAGUUCUUGGGAUUGUUAGCACAGGCCUUGGGGCCUUUGUACUGGCUACCCCUGCUGUCUGAAAAUAUUCCCCCCAGUAACCACAUGGCUAUUUCCCUCUCUUCUUCUAAGUCUUUAUCAAACAGCACUUUUUCAAUGGUACUUUCAAUGGCCACCUUAUUCAAAAUCACAACCCAAGGAUUAAUUCCUCCCACUCAAACACACAUGCUUGGCCCCCUCACCCCGCUUGGGUGGGGAUCUUGGUUUUGUUCCCUGGUGUCUCCCUAGCAGAGCGUCUGGAAUAUAGUGGGUAAUGGAUAAGUAUGCAUUAAAUGGAGAAAGAAGAGGAGAGACUCCCAUAAGACCUGGCGGGAAGCUGGCUUCGGCCAACCACCUGCCUCGUGGCUGAGGCUGCAUCCCUGGGUACUCCCGUGGGUACACUUUGUUGUGUCUGUCUGGUCUCUGAAGAGUCCACCCCAUGCUCAGCCUUCUCCUGGCACACCUGAGCCCUUCUGCGCUCACCUCAGCUUGGGGUUGGAGUUGGAGCAUCUGGUCAGUGGGGUGUUGGAGUCUGCUCAUACCAGCUUGUGAAGGCUGAUCUUCCUGCUUGGUGUUUGGUGAUACCCCGCCGGUAGCUUGGAAUCAGCCGUGGUGGGGGUAUCAAUGCCACAGAAACCGGCAAGUGCUACAAACGAGGGCUUUUAUUCCCUCUGCCUCGAGAGCUGAUUGUUAAACAUUUACCGGCGCCCGGUGACCUGGGUUAAAAUCAGUUGUCUUCCCUGAAACUGCAGACCCCUUGCAGUCGGGUCUGGGCUUUGCUGAUUGUGGUCCCAAAAUCUGCCUGCUGAGAAUUCUCUGAUUCCCUUGUUUCAGUCAAUAGCAUAUUUCAGUCCCGCCCACGGGGAUGAAGGCUGUUUCUGCUCCCACCGGUUUGGGGCCCUCUAAGCUGGGAGUACUGUUCAAGGAAGGGCUUUGCUUUCUGCAUCUCUGUAUCCUAGUUGCUAUUCCCGGAUUCAGGCUCCAGAUCUUCUGCUCUGCCCUGCCCAGCCCAGGAAAGAAGAUCUGGUAGUCCAGCCUGUCCCUGCUGCCCACCCCAGCACCUGGCCCAGAAGCCCUCUCCCCGGUGCCCACCUUGGCCCUGAGGAAAGCCAGAGCUCGGCUGCUGUUCUCCAGGAAGUGUACUCGCAUGCGGCCCCGGCUGGGGGGUGGCAGGGCCUCCCCCGAGAUGAGUUCCAGCAGCCGCAGUAGGUGGGUGCCAUCGGCCAGCUCUGUGUACAGGUUCUGGAUCUUGAUGCCCACCUGGGAGGGGUGGGGAAGAGGCACAGGGUCAGCCCCCCUCACGUGUCUGGCCUAUCCCAGGACCUGGGAGGUACAGCCCAGAGAGUCUUCCUUAAGGAAGGAGCACCGGACUUAUCUGUGUUUUGGGGUCUGCGAGACAUCUCAGCCAGAUGACCUCACAGUGGGCCCCCAGAGGCCACNNNNNNNNNNNNNNNNNNNNNNNNNNNNNNNNNNNNNNNNNNNNNNNNNNNNNNNNNNNCACAGCCAGCUACACUCACCCGGCCGUGCUGGAAGAUGUUGUUGAUCCAGUUGGUGAAAGUCUUCUCCUGCAUCCGCAUGUGCUGUGCCUGGAGCUUGCGGAUGUGGCUCAUCUCAUACGCGGAGUCCAUUGUGGGACAGGGCUGGGAGCACUACCGUGGGGCUCUGUGGCUGGGCCCCCGCNNNNNNNNUGGUCCCCUGCUUCAGGCACCCUGUAGCCCCAAGGAGCUGCUGGGGACUGUGGGGCUGACCGGCCCCGGGGCCUGCAGCCUUAUGGGGACAAGAGGCCACUGGAUAUUGCUCUAAGCUGGAAAUGUUGAGGGGCAUGGAGGUUGGAGGAGGAGCGUGAACUGUCCCCACAUCUGAUGGUGGGGGGGUUGCAACUUGGGGCCCAGCCAGGUAAGGUUCUGGGGUUCCCAGCUGGUGCCCUGCACUUGAGUGCCUCUGACCCCUUUGCCCCACCCCACUUUCCAGAUUCUUGGGACCACAGGAAUGGGCUGCUGCCCCUUGGGAUGAAAAGCGCAGGUAGAAAGGAAACAGGAAACCGCUCACCUUGGUGUUGUCUGUGCCUGGAAGGAGACCCUACUGGACGGAUGGAAAUGGCAGAUAGCAGGGGCUGUGUGGGGAGGGAGAGAACCACAGGAGAGGCCAAGGCUGGAGCUGGGGCCACGCCAUGGCCCUCCUCUUGAGCGAGUGGGGCAGGGGUGACGGCACACAGCCGGCAUUGUCCUCCCACCUGCCAGAGGGCAUGGCCCAGACUGGGAGGGGGUGGCUCAGGAAUGCUCCAGACUGUUGCUCCAGGAUCUCCUCCUUCAUCCUCCUCCCACCUCAGAUGCCCCCAAUGUCAGGUGGGGGUCCUGGCUGUCAAGAUGCAGAGGCCCAUGGGAUGGGCCUCAAGUUGGCUCUGGGUGGGAGUGCCGUGGGGGUGUUACGGUCCAGGUAAAAGGCAUCCAAAUGGCAGAGCCUCUGGUCAGAAGCUUCUGCACCCACAGUCUGGGACUGCCUUUCUGCACCCCUGCAGGGCCUCUUUGUGAGCACCCACAGGGGUGGGAUGGGAGGGAUGCUGGGCCAUAGCCCUCCCAUCCUGUCCAGGGGAAUGCCACCAUAGAUGGAGGAGAGUCCUUGGACUCUGGGCUUGGCUUUCCAAGCCCUGACCUGGCCCAGGGCCGAAUGGUGGGUGCUCCCUCAUGCCCAGGGGCCACUUUCUGAAGUGAGCUCUCCUCUUGGGAAGGAAUAACUUGGAGCUGCAAAGGCUGUGGAAAUAACAGUCUUCCCCAAAGCCAGAGACACAGUGUUCACUCUUUGGAGCUUCACGGUGAGGCCCCCAGCACCUGUGCUUCCACAGAACUGGCUAAGUCUCAUGGCUCAUGGCUCAGGGCACGAGCUGUGGAGGCGGGGGGAGCCUGCAGGCAACUCUCUUUCCUUCCCUGAGCAAUCUUGAACUGCAUGCCAGAGAGUUCUAAUUUGAGUGGCUUCACAGAAUGUCUGGCUAAACUUGGGGUAAUAGUCACUGGUCUGGGGUGGGUGUCUGUAGGUUCAUCCAGCAGCCCAAGAGACUCUGAGAAGAGGCUCAGGCCACUGUCCCUGACAGCCAAGGACAAUGAGAGGAGCAGCAUGGCAGCCUGCCCUUGACAGUUGAGCAGGACAAAGCACCCUGGAACCUCAGGCCCGUGGCUGGGAGUGAGAGACAUGGUGCUCUUGGGNNNNNNNNNNNNNNNNNNNNNNNNNNNNNNNNNNNNNNNNNNNNNNNNNNNNNNNNNNNNNNNNNNNNNNNNNNNNNNNNNNNNNNNNNNNNNNNNNNNNNNNNNNNNNNNNNNNNNNNNNNNNNNNNNNNNNNNNNNNNNNNNNNNNNNNNNNNNNNNNNNNNNNNNNNNNNNNNNNNNNNNNNNNNNNNNNNNNNNNNNNNNNNNNNNNNNNNNNNNNNNNNNNNNNNNNNNNNNNNNNNNNNNNNNNNNNNNNNNNNNNNNNNNNNNNNNNNNNNNNNNNNNNNNNNNNNNNNNNNNNNNNNNNNNNNNNNNNNNNNNNNNNNNNNNNNNNNNNNNNNNNNNNNNNNNNNNNNNNNNNNNNNNNNNNNNNNNNNNNNNNNNNNNNNNNNNNNNNNNNNNNNNNNNNNNNNNNNNNNNNNNNNNNNNNNNNNNNNNNNNNNNNCAUCUGGGCUUCAGCUGCUCUUUCAGCUUAGAACGUCCCUUCUGUUUUCAUUGUCCACAUUCUCCUGUCCUAUCAGCCCCAGUUAAAAUCCUGUUUCUUCUAGCAGGUUCUCUGCCACCUGCCCCCUCCUUCCCAGCUUGUUUCUCCUCCUAUGGAGACCCUUGGCCUGGGGCAUCUUGUAUGAUGUGACCACCAGAGGGCAGGCUGGAGCGCAUGAUGCUUUGCACACAGAGCUCAAUAGAGGUGGUUGUGUUCGGUUGUUGAGUGGCGCUGGGGAACUGCGUUUCUUCCUCCUGAGCUCGAAUGCGGCUAAGCCACUGUGCGUGCAGCAAGCACUGGCUCCUCUUUUGCUGUAACUGAUUGCAGCCCCUGCUGAAAUGAGAAUCCCUUGUUAGUACAUAGUUUUGCAUUAUUCACGUUGCAAAUAACUAAAAUCUCAAGUCAAAUGUAAACA